rnacentral:snoRNA from 1 species
UAGCAGGAUAAGUUACAGUGGAGCUUGUUCAGUGCUACUCUGUCAUUCCCCCUGCAACAUCAACUAGUUUCCUACUAUCCCGGUCUGCCUGCAUCUCACGCUUGGUCUGACACGA